CCUUUGCUAAAUAUUUACCUGUCUUUCCAUCCAGGAGUUCAGCUCAGCUCGUGUUUGAAACCCAAAAGCAAAAUGUCCAGCAACUUCAAGCUUUUAGUGAAAGGUGCAAAACAGGUGGUUUUAGUGGGUAAAAAUGGCGAGAAGUUUCUGACCAAAGAGGGGAUGCAGAAUUUGGCAGUUAUUGAGAAUGGGAGUGUGGUGAUUGGACAUGAUGGACUGAUAAAAGCUGUGGGAUCAGCAGACUCCAUUGAGUUGCAGUUCAGAGACGCAGUGUUCAAUAAGGUUAUAGAUGCUACUGGCAUGUGUGUUCUCCCUGGCUUGAUUGAUGCACACACACAUCCAGUUUGGGCUGGGGACAGAGUUCAUGAGUUUGCAAUGAAGCUUGCUGGAGCUACAUACAUGGAGGUGCAUGAGGCUGGAGGGGGCAUUCACUUCACAGUGAAGCACACACGUGCAGCAUCUUCAGAAACUCUGCUGGAGGGGUUAAAGGGCCGUUUGGAGCGCAUGCUGAGAGCCGGCACUACGCUGGUGGAGUGUAAGAGCGGAUAUGGGUUGGACCUCGACGCUGAGCUAAAAAUGCUAAGCGUUAUAGAUGCUGCACGGAGGAGCAUGCCUAUCGGGAUAUCCUCAACAUACUGCGGAGCCCAUGCUGUGCCCAGAGGUAAGACUAUGGAGGAGGCAACAGAGGACAUUCUGUCUGUGCAGCUGCCCACUAUACAGAAGCAGAUUACAGAAGGCAGCCUUCAGGUGGACAACAUUGACGUGUUCUGUGAGAAAGGUGUUUUCGACCUCAACUCCACAUGCCGAAUUCUGCAGGCUGGUAAAGACAUGGGCCUCAACAUCAACUUCCACGGAGAUGAACUUCAUCCUAUGAACUCUGCACAGCUUGGGGCGAAACUUGCUGCUUUAGCCAUAAGCCACCUGGAGGAGGUGACAGAUGAGGGCAUUGCUGCCAUGGCAGCCGCCAAGACAUCAGCCAUCCUUUUGCCGACCACUGCCUAUAUUCUCAGGCUCCCGUGUCCUCGUGCCAGAGAUAUGCUUGAUGCUGGAGUUAUAGUAUCACUUGGCAGCGACUUCAAUCCGAAUGCUUACUGCUGUUCAAUGACAUGCCACUCUCUGUUAGCCCAUGGUGAUGCACCUGGCCUGCGUUACACUGAAGAUGUCCAUGCCUGAAGCUCUGGCAGCCGCCACCAUAAAUGCAGCCUACGCCCUCAAUCGCUCCCACUCACACGGAUCACUAGAGCCCAGCAAACAAGGAGACCUGCUCAUAAUUAACGCACCAAGAUGGGAGCAUCUCAUUUACCAGUUUGGAAGCCAUCAGGAGCUCAUCGGAUUUGUCAUCAUCAAAGGCACCAUUGUUUAUGAGAACGACAAAGUUUUGGAUCUCUGAAUGUACACAAAGGUGAUUUAUAUAUGAGAUUAUUUACUCUCAUAAGACAAAACAGUCCAUAUGAAGCAAUCUAUUACAGUAACUGAAGUAUUUACUUCACAUGACAAGAUUCUGUAACCCUUACACAUAAAUAAUAUAAAUAAUGAUAUGAAACAACUGUUAAAAAAUAAAGGCUUUAGAGUUGUCCAAA